UGCCUAACACAUGCAAGUCGAACGCGAAAGUUCCCUUCGGGGGACAAGUAGAGUGGCGCACGGGUGAGUAACACGUAGGUAAUCUACCUUCGGGUGGGGAAUAACCCAGGGAAACUUGGGCUAACACCGCAUAAUGCAGCGGCACCACAUGGUGACAGUUGUUAAAGCGGGGGAUUUUCGGACCUCGCGCCUGAAGAGGAGCCUGCGGCGGAUUAGCUAGUUGGUAAGGUAACGGCUUACCAAGGCGACGAUCCGUAGCCGGCCUGAGAGGGCGGUCGGCCACACUGACACUGACAUACGGGUCAGACUCCUACGGGAGGCAGCAGUCGGGAAUUUUGGGCAAUGGGCGAAAGCCUGACCCAGCAACGCCGCGUGAAGGAUGAAAUCCCUCGGGAUGUAAACUUCGCAAGAAUGGGAAGAAUUAGUAGGGGCUAAUACCCCCUAUGAUGACGGUACCAUUUGUAAGCUCCGGCUAACUCCGUGCCAGCAGCCGCGGUAAUACGGGGGGAGCAAGCGUUGUUCGGAUUUACUGGGCGUAAAGGGCGCGUAGGCGGUAGCACAAGUCAGUUGUGAAAUCUCCGGGCUUAACUCGGAAAGGUCAACUGAUACUGUGCGACUAGAGUGCAGAAGGGGCAACUGGAAUUCUCGGUGUAGCGGUGAAAUGCGUAGAUAUCGAGAGGAACACCUGCGGCGAAGGCGGGUUGCUGGGCUGACACUGACGCUGAGGCGCGAAAGCCAGGGGAGCGAACGGGAUUAGAUACCCCGGUAGUCCUGGCCUUAAACGAUGGAUGCUUGGUGUCUGGGGUUUUAUAGUCCCCGGGUGCCGCAGCUAACGCGUUAAGCAUCCCGCCUGGGGAGUACGGUCGCAAGACUGAAACUCAAAGGAAUUGACGGGGACCCGCACAAGCGGUGGAGCAUGUGGUUCAAUUCGACGCAACGCGAAGAACCUUACCUGGGCUCGAACGGCUCACGAACGGCUGUGGAAACACGGCUUUCCCGCAAGGGACGGGAGUCGAGGUGCUGCAUGGCUGUCGUCAGCUCGUGUCGUGAGAUGUUGGGUUAAGUCCCGCAACGAGCGCAACCCUUGUCCUGUGUUGGCAUGCCCGCAAGGGCGCAACUCGCAGGAGACCGCCAGCGAUAAGUUGGAGGAAGGUGGGGAUGACGUCAAGUCCUCAUGGCCUUUAUGUCCAGGGCUACACACGUACUACAAUGGCCGGUACAAUGCGCAGCGAACUCGCAAGGGGGAGCCAAUCGCAAAAAACCGGUCUCAGUUCGGAUUGCAGGCUGCAACUCGCCUGCAUGAAGCUGGAAUCGCUAGUAAUGCCAUAUCAGAACGAUGGCGUGAAUACGUUCCCGGGCCUUGUACACACCGCCCGUCACA
rnacentral:rRNA from 1 species